GCUUGCUCCACCGGAAAAAGAAGAGUGGCGAACGGGUGAGUAACACGUGGGUAACCUGCCCAUCAGAAGGGGAUAACACUUGGAAACAGGUGCUAAUACCGUAUAACAAUCGAAACCGCAUGGUUUUGAUUUGAAAGGCGCUUUCGGGUGUCRCUGAUGGAUGGACCCGCGGUGCAUUAGCUAGUUGGUGAGGUAACGGCUCACCAAGGCCACGAUGCAUAGCCGACCUGAGAGGGUGAUCGGCCACAUUGGGACUGAGACACGGCCCAAACUCCUACGGGAGGCAGCAGUAGGGAAUCUUCGGCAAUGGACGAAAGUCUGACCGAGCAACGCCGCGUGAGUGAAGAAGGUUUUCGGAUCGUAAAACUCUGUUGUUAGAGAAGAACAAGGAUGAGAGUAACUGUUCAUCCCUUGACGGUAUCUAACCAGAAAGCCACGGCUAACUACGUGCCAGCAGCCGCGGUAAUACGUAGGUGGCAAGCGUUGUCCGGAUUUAUUGGGCGUAAAGCGAGCGCAGGCGGUUUCUUAAGUCUGAUGUGAAAGCCCCCGGCUCAACCGGGGAGGGUCAUUGGAAACUGGGAGACUUGAGUGCAGAAGAGGAGAGUGGAAUUCCAUGUGUAGCGGUGAAAUGCGUAGAUAUAUGGAGGAACACCAGUGGCGAAGGCGGCUCUCUGGUCUGUAACUGACGCUGAGGCUCGAAAGCGUGGGGAGCAAACAGGAUUAGAUACCCUGGUAGUCCACGCCGUAAACGAUGAGUGCUAAGUGUUGGAGGGUUUCCGCCCUUCAGUGCUGCAGCUAACGCAUUAAGCACUCCGCCUGGGGAGUACGACCGCAAGGUUGAAACUCAAAGGAAUUGACGGGGGCCCGCACAAGCGGUGGGAGCAUGUGGUUUAAUUCGAAGCAACGCGAAGAAACCUUACCAGGGUCUUGACAUCCUUUUGACCACUCUAGAAGAURGAGCUUCCCCYUUCGGGGG
rnacentral:rRNA from 1 species